rnacentral:lncRNA from 1 species
UGAAAUGAGGCCAUGAAGGCUGGUUGCUAGAUAUUUGGGCUUCUUCACCUGCAAAAAAAACAAACAGUCAAUAAGUGGUCAGCUAUAGAACUUGAUUAGGCCAAAACCCAUGGAUCAAUAUCUUUUACCUGACCAAGUUGGGUCCAAUUUUAGUGAAAACCUAGGAAUAACUUAUGAUUGGUAAUGAUAUGGAUCAAGAAAUCUAUUUAAAUAGCUGAGUGAAGUAUUGCCAAGGUAAUCCACUAAUACUUCCUUUUAAUUUUGAAUCGGUUAAGUCAAGAAAAAAGAAAGUAAAAGAAAAUGAAAAAAACAAUUGAAAUGAAGAAAUCAUAGUCAAUUCCGAGAUGGCACUUUGAAAUAAAAAUGAAAACAUUCGUAAUGAGAAUAUAAAAAUGUCACAUUGCCCAUUAAGUGAUUAACUUAGCUUUUCUAUUUAUAUUCCCCAUCUUUUGGCCACACUACAGAUGGUCUGAAAUUUGUUUUUUGAGUAAAACUUAAUAUAUUUACCAACACUCAAACAUAAUUUAAAUGUGAUUGUUGAAAUGGGUAGGGAAGAUGACUAUCAAUCAUUGGAUGUAUUUUUUACCUAAACAAAAACUGGAAAUGGAUUACUACUACUAAAAUUUUAAGAACAUUUUUAUUAUUAAUUUAGCAGACUGAUUCAUGCAUUAUUAGCCAAAUCAAUAAUUAAGUGGAAACUGGAAGAAAAAUCUCAUUUUUGGCAAGUAUAAUGGGGAUAACUGGAAAUGAGCCAAGUUUCACAGAGACUGCCUUUCUUCUCUUCCUAUCCCACUAGGUAAGUAGGUCCAUCUUUCUGAAUGCACACAGUUACAUCAAAAAUAAUAUGGUCUGUUAAAUAAAUUCCAUUUUAUAACAAAUUAUAAUUUAAUCAUCAAUAAAUAUAUAUUCAUUACAAUUGUUUUGACUUAAUAUUGCAGUUAGACAGUCUAUAAAGCAAUCUGAUUCUGUUCUCCUACUUAGGAUGUAGCAAGAUAUACCAGCAAACAAGAUUUUAUUAUUCUUGAUACUUAAAAAAUUUUUAUUAAUUUAGUUUGGGCUGGCUAGGAAAGAAUGAAAUGAUGUUAACUGAGAAACCAGAAUCGACUAUAUUAGAUUGGUGGUAGAAAUCUGUGGUUAACAAAUUUAUUUUUAUAAUUAUUUUACAUUAUCUUUGGUUACAGGCAAUGUAUAAAUUUAUUUUUUGUUUUAUUUCUAUUGCUAAUAGCACAUGAUAGAGAAAUGAUCAUGGAUGGCAGCUGGUGUUAAGUUAGUUUUACUUAAACUGUUAUAUCACACACUGGAUAUAUCAUAUCUCAAGUUGGCCACUUUUACUCAAGUCCGCACCAUCACUGGCUGGCCCACAACUGUGAUGGGGCAAACUGAAGGUUCAAGAAUAAGGUUCAAUAGAUCGGGUCUAAACCCCUCCCAAAAAAUUGGAGAUAUGGGAUCCAAUUCUCCAAGAUAAGAAUUGUUUUAUUACAAGGCCUUCCAGCCAACACAACCACAGGGGUUAAAAUAUUUUAUUGGCCAUAAAAAAUUUACCAUUUUUACGCAAUUAUCAUACCACAUUUGUGGUGCAAGCUAAAUUAAACAGAUCAGACAAUAUCAUCUUUAGCCUAUAUGGUUAAAUACAUACCGUAAUUAAGGAUAUUUAUUAAGAUACUUUUGGAAAGUCAGACCACGGCUCUAUUCACCACUUAUCAUUUCAUCUGAUGAAGUAUUAAUCCAGAUCUAGUACUGAGCCAUGGAAAUUUCUCCUUGGAGAUUAUUUCUGGAUUACAGCUCAUUCGCAACCCAUUACAUCUAUUAAACAGGAUGACCCACGGUGACCGAAGCAUCCAUAUCCACCAGACUUAAUAUCUAUUAGUUAGCCGGUCACUUGGAAUUGUUAUAAUUUACCUGAAGCAGGCAAAGUAAGUGAGUUGGGUUCCACAUAGUCAGAAGAGUCAGAGUUGUUGGCUUCCUUUCUGAUGGUCUUAUAUGAUAACCUCCUGACAAAAUCGUUUGCCUCUUGAUGGCUAGAGUCCAGGCUGGUCGAGGAGGAGGAAGGGGAGCAGUGUCUGGCCUCUGGUCUCAGAUGACUUGUCCCGCAGUUUCUUUUCUCUGCAAAACCUGUGGACAUUAAUACCUGCAUUAAUUAUAAUUAACUUAAAUCAAGUGCUUGUAACAUAACUUAAUAAAUCCAAAUACCUAAUAUUGUCUCCACGAUAUGAUUCUGCCCUGAUUUUUGCCUAAAUCAUCUUAGUAUAGGAUUAUUCUCGAGUCAAAGAAAUAACUUACUGUAACUCUGUUUGACCUGCCCCCUCUUCGUUUUUCUUAGAUAUUAGAUGGGAUAUCACCUAGGCACACAUGAAAAUACAAGAAAUACUCUAAUCUAACUAAUACUACAGGAUAUGACUACAUUCUUUGUUAGGGGGAAACAAUAUCUGGAAUCACAUUAUAUCUUUAGGCCUACUUCUUGAUGCUACAACACUAUUAAUGGUUUAUACAUUUUAGAUCUGAGUGAAUCUUGCUAGGCAAAGAGAAAUUAAGUAGAUUUGAUAUUAAGACCCCUCAUCAGAGAUAAUCUACUAUGGCUCAAGCUGACGGCACCUAACUUCUAGUGAG